CUGCCUACGGGGCGCAGCAGUAGGGAAUUUUCGUCAAUGGGCGCAAGCCUGAACGAGCAAUGCCGCGUGAACGAGGAAGGUCUUCGGAUCGUAAAGUUCUGUUGAAGGGGAAAAAGAGCGGAGAGAGGAAAUGAACUCCGAUUGAUAUUACCCUUCGAGGAAGUCACGGCUAACUACGUGCCAGCAGCCGCGGUAAUACGUAGGUGGCGAGCGUUAUCCGGAAUGAUUGGGCGUAAAGGGUGCGUAGGCGGGAUGCCAAGUCAGCGGUAAAAAUGCGGUGCUCAACGCCGUCGAGCCGUUGAAAC
rnacentral:rRNA from 1 species